rnacentral:rRNA from 1 species
GGAGGAAAAGAAACCAACAGGGAUUGCCCUAGUAACGGCGAGUGAAGCGGCAACAGCUCAAAUUUGAAACCUGGCGCUUGCGUCCGGAUUGUAAUUUGUAGAGGAUGCUUCUGGGCAGCGGCCGUUCUAAGUUCCUUGGAACAGGACGUCAUAGAGGGUGAGAAUCCCGUAUGUGACCGGCGCGCACCCUCCACGUAGCUCCUUCGACGAGUCGAGUUGUUUGGGAAUGCAGCUCUAAAUGGGAGGUAAAUUUCUUCUAAAGCUAAAUAUUGGCCAGAGACCGAUAGCGCACAAGUAGAGUGAUCGAAAGAUGAAAAGCACUUUGGAAAGAGAGUUAAAAAGCACGUGAAAUUGUUGAAAGGGAAGCGCUUCCAACCAGACUCCGCGGCGGUGUUCCGCCGGUCUUCUGACCGGUCCACUCGCCGCCGUGGGGCCAACAUCGUCUGGGGCCGCCGGAUAAGACCGGAGGAAUGUAGCUCAUUGAGUGUUAUAGCCUCCGGUGAUGCGGCGCGUCCCGGGCGAGGUCCGCGCUUCGGCAAGGAUGUUGGCGUAAUGGUUGGCAGCGGCCCGUCUUGAAACACGGACCAAGGAGUCUAACAUCUAUGCGAGUGUUCGGGUGUCAAACCCCUACGCGCAAUGAAAGUGAACGGAGGUGGGAGCUUCGGCGCACCAUCGACCGAUCCUGAUGUCCUCGGAUGGAUUUGAGUAAGAGCAUAGCUGUUGGGACCCGAAAGAUGGUGAACUAUGCCUGAAUAGGGUGAAGCCAGAGGAAACUCUGGUGGAGGCUCGCAGCGGUUCUGACGUGCAAAUCGAUCGUCAAAUUUGGGUAUAGGGGCGAAAGACUAAUCGAA